GCUCACUCCCAGCGUAUCUCGGUCGAAGAAGAAGAACACACCCAGAAAGUAAUGUUUACAUUGAGAACCUAACCUAAAUCUGCUGACUUUGUCCUCCCUUCCCUCGUGCGUGCUGGGAGAAUGAGCAUGAGGAUUUUUGAAAAUGACGAACGAACAGUUUAAUUAUUAACGCGAAACUUUUCUUUUGUUCUAUGAUCUUGAUAAUUUCUAAUUUCAAGUUGCUGUUAUGUUUUCUUCAUCUGUUGUCUUGGUGGUUAAGUUGGUUAUCCUAAAAUGUGAAGUGAUGUAGUUCGUUUUUGGGCCAGUAUCUCUUGCGACGAGGAGAAGCCCUAAGAUGCCGUCAGUGGGCAAGUUGGCUUUACCCACAAAGUAACUGGGAGUCUGAAUCUGAUCUACUGGCCCUGUACAAAAAGUCGAGAGUUGUUUGCUCAAGUCAUUUUACCGAAGCAGACUUUCCGGACAAUGUGCGACGAACACUGCGUAGAGCUGCUGUACCUCAUGUCACAUCCACGGAUAAAUCUGCCACUUCAAUGAUUGCAACCAUUGAGCCACCGAGUUCUAUUGAUGCUGCAAGCUAUGGAUCUUCACAGCAGAAUGGAGAGAUCGGCAUAGAACUAGGGCCAUCCUCUGAAUCCAUCCUUGGUUAUGAAACCCAUACUUCUACGCUACCGCAAGAUACCAUCAUCAGCAACAUACCAUUUCUCCGCUUAGUAGAAUGACGUAACAUUUGAAAUUUAGUUUUGAUAAGGAGAAUGCUGAUUCUUGUUACCUACUUGUGUUCAGAAUUCAGUCAAAUGUUUGUACAUUUUUUUCCAUUCAGAAUUAAAUUACUUUCCAUCAAAAGCAA